rnacentral:rRNA from 1 species
UACGUAGGGGGCUAGCGUUGUCCGGAAUCAUUGGGCGUAAAGAGCGCGUAGGCGGCCAGAUAAGUCCGGUGUGAAAGUCACAGGCUCAACCUGUGAAUGCCGCUGGAAACUGUCUGGCUAGAGUCCGGGAGGGGCGAGUGGAAUUCCUGGUGUAGCGGUGAAAUGCGCAGAUAUCAGGAGGAACACCAAUGGCGAAGGCAGCUCGCUGGACCGGUUCUGACGCUGAGGCGCGAAAGCGUGGGGAGCAAACAGG